rnacentral:lncRNA from 1 species
GCUAAAACUUUCAUGCAUGAUUAACUAUCAGCUCUGAAAGGUAAACACUCUAUUCUGAUUAAUCUUCGAAUAUCCAUCGAAUGGAUUCUGGAGAUAACUCCGUGAGGAGCCCCAAAGAAGGGUAAAACCUCGGAAAAUCGGACCUAGACCCUAACUCUAAAAUAAAAUAUUGAUGUAGGAUUAAUACCUUUUAUGAUAGAAGAAACUUGUGGAUCAGAUCCUUGACUUCGCAGCCACGCACACGAAUGGCUUCUACGAGAAGUACACGCGAAGUUCCUGAAGAGAUCCAAUCCUGCGGAAGUGCUAGCAUGCGCAGAAUUUCUUGAGGCUGAAAUUUGAUCUUCCCAACACUAUCAACUUUUGAUCUGCCUUCUUGGAAGAACUUGGAGAAAAGGUUUAGAGGGAUUGAAGAGGACUUAGAUCUGAUCUAAAGACUUUUAUCAGGGACCCCUAACACUAAUGGCAUGAAGGUCUUAGUAGAAGAUCAAAUGGCGAGAGAGAAGAAGGUAUGCAGAUUUU